GAUGAACGCUGGCGGCGUGCCUAAUACAUGCAAGUCGAGCGAACAGACGAGGAGCUUGCUCCUCUGACGUUAGCGGCGGACGGGUGAGUAACACGUGGAUAACCUACCUAUAAGACUGGGAUAACUUCGGGAAACCGGAGCUAAUACCGGAUAAUAUAUUGAACCGCAUGGUUCAAUAGUGAAAGACGGUUUUGCUGUCACUUAUAGAUGGAUCCGCGCCGCAUUAGCUAGUUGGUAAGGUAACGGCUUACCAAGGCAACGAUGCGUAGCCGACCUGAGAGGGUGAUCGGCCGCACGGGAACUGAGACACGGUCCAGACUCCUACGGGAGGCAGCAGUAGGGAAUCUUCCGCAAUGGGCGAAAGCUUGACGGAGCAACGCCGCGUGAGUGAUGAAGGUCUUCGGAUCGUAAAACUCUGUUAUUAGGGAAGAACAAAUGUGUAAGUAACUAUGCACGUCUUGACGGUACCUAAUCAGAAAGCCACGGCUAACUACGUG
rnacentral:rRNA from 1 species